ACUCUAAAUGGAAGCACUGUCUGUGUUCUAAGAAAAGAUCGUGCAGCCCUUUAGAGUGU
rnacentral:pre_miRNA from 1 species